rnacentral:rRNA from 1 species
UGAUCCUGCCAUGGCGGUAAAACUUACGGAGCAGAUCAGGGGCGGCGGGGUCAAGUGACAGGUUAGGGACUUAAUAAAAAAUAAGGAGAAAAUAUUAUGGACUUGGCGACGGUUGGCGGGAUAGCCAUGGGCGGUGCUUUGAUUUUGAUCUCGAUCAUUAUGGGUGGUGUCGGGUUGGGGCCAUUCAUAAAUAUCCCCUCGAUGAUGAUUGUUGGCGGCGGGACGGUGGCGGCAACAUUGGUUAAGUUUCCCAUGAAAAGCGUUUUUGGCGUCUCGAAGCUCAUACGUAAGACGAUGUUUAUGCAGAAAUAUUCCCUUCAGGAAGAGAUCGAGAGGUUUAAUGAGUUUGCCAAGGUUGCAACGGGUGACGGAGAAUUAGGGUUCGAUUCCGGAGAGGGAGCCUGAGAAACGGCUACCACAUCCAAGGAAGGCAGCAGGCGCGCAAAUUACCCAAUCCCGACUCGGGGAGGUAGUGACAAUAAAUAACAAUGCCGGGCUAUGUAGUCUGGCAAUUGGAAUGAGUACAAUCUAAACCCCUUAGAGGAACAAUUGGAGGGCAAGUCU